rnacentral:rRNA from 1 species
UACGGAGGGUGCGAGCGUUGUUCGGAAUCACUGGGCGUAAAGCGCGUGUAGGCGGCCCACUAAGUCUGAUGUGAAAGCCCGGGGCUCACCCCCGGAAGUGCAUUGGAAACUGGUGGACUCGAGUCCCGGAGAGGAGAGUGGAAUUCCUGGUGUAGCGGUGAAAUGCGUAGAUAUCAGGAGGAACAUCUGCGGCGAAGGCGGGUUGCUGGGCCGACACUGACGCUGAUGCGCGAAAGCCAGGGGAGCGAACGGG